AUGUGUUCAGGGAUCGAGACGGUGUGUAUGAGCUGGUGGGAUCUGGUAAACCGUUGAGUCUGGUCACGGGGACCCCACUCUGUCUUCCAAAAGUCCUUGGCGUGUGUAGUCCAAUCAAGUGGUAAUAACAGGAAACACAUACAGAGCCUUGAACUCUCAUAAGUGUAAUAUGUAGCAAUCUUUUGAGGUGGGUAUGCUACCCUUCCCAUUUUGCAGAUAAGGAAAGUGAGGCACAGCGAGAUUAAGUAACCUGUGCAGAUCUAUGCAGGGGUGAGUGGCAGGGCCAGGACUGUGGAUACAGUCUGGCUCCAGAGCCCAGAUUCAUAACUCCCAUUCUCCACUGAUUUUCCAAGCAGGGGGAUCCUUGAGGCCAUCGGGCCUGGCCUCUCCCUCAGUCACUCAUUCCUGAGCCAGUUUUAGGACCUUUGCGAUAUCUGUGUCCCACCUCUAAUGCCACUAACGUAACUUUUUCAUUCUCAUAAUUCACUCCGUCUACUUGAAUACGUUUGUCUGAAAUGAAACCUUGAUAUUCGCACGAGGGGUGAAAACUCAGCAUCGUUUGCCAUAAAAAUAGAGAGGAAAUGUAAAAAUAGGUCCAGCGAAAGCAGUGUGACUAACUUUUAGCUGAGUACUGCCCUCCCCCGAGUCCCAGAGCCCCCCCCCCCCCGCCCCCGUGCCUGAGUUGAGGGAUGAAAAGAGGAGAGGAAGAGGUGUCACCUUCACGGGACCUGCCCCGGAGUACACCGUGUGCCCUCAGGGUUUAGACGGAGGCCCAGGGAACUGCCGCACCGGCGACCAGCAGGACCCCUGACUCCUGAGCAUGGGGCCCUCCGUGCUCAUUAGGCACAUUUUCACACGCGCUGCCCCCAUCAGGUUAAUUGCCGAGUUAAUUCGUGUAACAUACCUGUUGAUGGGUGGCUCCGUCUCCUGCCCUCGCCCUCCAGUUCUCACGUUCCUGAAGCAAUUCCUAACCUCCACGGGCCCCCGCUGUCAUUGGCCACUCCGCAGGUAGCCCCCGGCCACGUGGGAACUUGGAUUCAGGGCCCCUAGAUCUAGGGGUCUGCUGUCAUUGUGGCGGCUCAUUUAACUUCUUUCCAUCUGCCGGCGCCAUCUCCAAUUGGAGGCUGACAGCACUUUCUCUAAGGACCUCAAAGGGUUGUUGUCAGGACGCAAGGGAGGUCAAGGAUUUGGAAACGCUCUGGUAGAAAACACGCCUCUGAAUGUGCGAGUGUUCACGCCAACCCUCACUUAUCCGGCAUCUGCAAGCGAUGGAUGAGAACCGUGAAGAAGGGGAGAGGCAUUUGCCCACAAAAGAGAACUCACAGCCGGCUCCUGCAUUUGUCGGACCUGCACGGAUCCUGCUGCACGACGGGCCGGGUGCCAGCGAGUAUUAACGAAUUCGGACGUGACACCACGUGGCCCCGACGUGAAGAGAGUCGUGGUGUAAAAGGCAGGUAACACACCGUUACGUGUGUGAUGGGAUUCCUCGUGGUGCAGACCCUCAGCCUUCUCGAGACCCAGGUCCCGCAGGUUGGGUCAUCCGUUUCCCCCAAUCACAUGACUUCAGAGCUAACAGAUGAGAAACGGGCAGGGCUCUUUCUGGGGCAAGGCAAACUUCCUUGAUGAAGAAGAGGGGCUGACUUGGAGGGAAGGGGUCCUCCCGACUUCCUGCAGGUUUCAUGGAAAUGAGAAUGUUAGCGGGACCCAUGUAGAACUCCCAGCUUCACUGCAACCCCAGUGAAAUGAAAUCUGUGUCUCUCUUGCAACUCGGAGAUCCAUCUAUGAGCUGGCAGAUAAUUACAGGUCAUGAUCUAAAGUUUCGUGUUUCAUUUUCACCUGAUGCCCACAGAAUUAGGACAUUAGUUUCUCAUAAAUCAGUGCCCUUCAAUCAAUUACGCUUAGUCACCAAGAACCCGUGAGCUGAGCCAUCAUCAGAUGGGCUGGCUCCUACCCGCUCGAGGCUUUUGUCUUCCACUUAGAGCAGGUGAUUUAUUUAUUGAAACAUCGCUGAGACGGGAAGGUCUUUCUCCCUUUCUUUCAGCUGUCCUAGGAGCCGAUCCAGCCUUCCUCCGCUCCCAGUUCAGGAAUCGGUGAUCAUGGAACAGAAUUAGUUUUUGUCUCGUUCGGUGUUUCGGGGGUCCAGUCUUUAAAUCCUGGGGCCCGGCUGAAUAAAAUAACACCAAG